rnacentral:rRNA from 1 species
AGUGAACGCUGGCGGUAGGCCUAACACACGCAAGUCGAACGGCAGCACAGGAGAGCUUGCUCUCUGGGUGGCGAGUGGCGGACGGGUGAGGAAUACAUCGGAAUCUACUCUGUCGAGGGGGAUAACGUAGGGAAACUUACGCUAAUACCGCAUACGACCUACGGGUGAAAGCAGGGGAUCUUCGGACCUUGCGCGAUUGAAUGAGCCGAUGUCGGAUUAGCUAGUUGGCGGGGUAAAGGCCCACCAAGGCGACGAUCCGUAGCUGGUCUGAGAGGAUGAUCAGCCACACUGGAACUGAGACACGGUCCAGACUCCUACGGGAGGCAGCAGUGGGGAAUAUUGGACAAUGGGCGCAAGCCUGAUCCAGCCAUACCGCGUGGGUGAAGAAGGCCUUCGGGUUGUAAAGCCCUUUUGUUGGGAAAGAAAUCCAGCUGGCUAAUACCCGGUUGGGAUGACGGUACCCAAAGAAUAAGCACCGGCUAACUUCGUGCCAGCCGCCGCCGUAA